GCCACCUUGGCUCAGCGGUAGAGCAAUGCUUUCGUAAAGCAUAGGUCACCCGUUCAAAUCGGGUAGGUGGCUCCA
rnacentral:tRNA from 1 species